AUGGUGACCAUGGACAAUCUGCCGCCUCCGGCGUUUGAGAGUACGCUCGUGGACGAGCCACAGCCGCCGGGAGGAGCUUUGCUCAUGGGCGUCGUUCUUGCCGCCUUAGGCCUUCCUCGCGAGGUUGUCGUGAACUUCUCCACCUGCUGGAGCAGGGAAGAAGGAGGAGCGCCGGGGUGGUUGGUGCGGAUGGACCGCGACGGCGGUGAUGCACAGCCGGUGGCGCAGGAAGGUGGUGGUGGGGAGAGAUGGGGAGAAACGGGAGGUUAG
rnacentral:rRNA from 1 species